GCCGGCAGCCAUAUCACUCUGUAGCUCAAGACUGGUUACCCACUGAAGCUAAGCAGGGCUGAGCCUGGUCAGUACCUGGAUGGGAGACCUCCUGGGAAAACUAGGUUGCUGUUGGAA
rnacentral:rRNA from 1 species